GGAAGUCCCUGCGACCUGUCUCCGGGUCGCCUUUUGUCCUGUCCCCAGAGGAGGGAGGUCCUCACUCUCGGUGCCUAGGAGAGGAGGGAGGCGGGGUCUCCCGAGGGAAGGAGGGUGCAGCGUUCUGUCCGGUUCCCUUCCCCCGCUGCGUGACGAGGGGACACAGGCGAAAGCGGACUCCCGGGGACACGCACACGGGCUCACGUGGAAAAGGAAACUGAGGUCAGGGAAAGGAUGUGCCUGAAGUCACACAACUCGACUCUGGGACAAAGUCUGGGAAGAGGAUCACAGGGGGAGAAAGCUCAGUUUUCCUUUACGUCAUUUCUGUAAGCAUGGCUUUUGAUACAAAGUUAUUGGAGGCCGAAGAUCUGCAAGAGUCUCUUCUGAAAUUGUCACAGGAUGUAGUGCAACCCUUGUUAUUUCUGGGUCCAAUCCCACCAGUAUCCUUUUCUUUGGCUCUUUAAUUAAUCCAUAUAGAACUUUACACUGAAAAAUUUCAAAAUGUAAAUUUGCCUAUUACUCAAAUAUAGUUUGUCUCAAAUUCCCUUCACAUAUCUGACAGUGCAUAUCAAAUAUCCUCCUGUGUGACAAAGUAAAACAGUUCAUAUACACUAUGACUGCUGUGGGAGAGGGUCUGACAGCCUGUGUUCCAUUUCACAGAAGAUCUGGACUCAAUGGAGCCUGUAAACAAAGCAGAAACUAUAGAAAAGUGCUCUGGAAGCCAUAAGCAAUGCAGUUCUAUCUUAUUCUGGCAAGUCCACGCGUCCCCUGAUUCUCCACCAAAUCAUAGCUAGUUUGGACUUCUCUCAAGGAAAACGAACUUGGGACGGCUUGGGAGCAAUCCUUCCACAGCUGCCGUCCCUGCGCCCAGGUCUCGUUAGCUGUGCAGCCACACGCAUGACCCUCUUCUCUGAGAAACUGGUACUGCCUGGGGACUUUGGUUCUCUCUCUACUAGUCUAGACUCUCUCACACUUGGGGUUCCUAGAGGGACACCUCCAAGGCCAGCAUUGUCCAGGAAAUUCCUUCUCACAUCUAGGAGGCUAGGACUCAGGAACUCAACAAUUGUCCAAAAUUCUCCCCCUUCCGUAGAGACACUUCCUCCAUUUGGAUUGUGAGUUUUUCCUUGCCACAACUGCCACGUGGUUGAUAGUUUAUGGACCUGCCUCUCCAAUACCGAUACCAGGAAUUCUGAAGGGGUCUGGAUGAGUCCAUGACACUCAUGUGUGCUUGUUCCAAGAAAGUCAUUAAUGGAAGCAAAGCUUUCCACAUCUUCCCCUCCCCACCUCCCAGAGCUUAGAUUUGCUUCCAGCUCUCUUGCACUCUCAAAGAGUAUCACAGAAAAGGUCAAAGGGGGAGAAAGGGAUCAACUUCCCCUUCUCCCUAGGGCUGAUCCCUUUAUUUACAGGCCAAGCACAAAUACUGGAAUUCUCCAUGGGAAAAAGUUGUUGAAAAUUAAUCAAAAGCUGUAUCCUCCAUGCUCUAAAGGAGAUGCCAUCUGGCACGGUCACAUAGAGAAAUAGUCACAGCAGCCUGGGAGUAGCAAAGAACUAGAAACAAAGUAAGCCUGUGGCUGUAACUAUUUUGGUAUAUAUGGGAUCCUUUUUUGUUUUUCACAUCCUCCUUGAGAAGACUGUCUACUAGGGACACUUCCACUACUUUCCUUUCUUUUAAACUGUUAUCUGGCUCUCACUUUAUCCUUCAACUGAAACUGUUCUCUCCACAAUUAUUAAUGGUCACUUAAUCACUAAAUCGAAUGGCUUUCUUGAGUCUCUUCUUUCUUACCUCUCUGCAGCCUCCAUAACCCACUUCUUUUUUAUUGAAGAGUUUUAUCUUUAAAGCAUAUGCAAGGAUAAUUUUUCAACAUUGACCCUUGAAAACCCUUGUGUUCCCAUUUUCCUCCUUUCCCCCACCCUCCCCUAGAUGGCAUGCAAUCCAAUAUAUGCAUAGAUUCACCUUUGUUUACAUGACCCACGUUUCCAGGUUUUUGUCACUGCCCUCUCAUUGUUCUCCUGACUACUCCUUCUCAAUCUACUUUGCUAGAACUUCCUCCAAAAUGUGAACAUUAACUUGUGUCCCACAAGGCUUUAGCCUGGCCUUCAGCUCUUCCCCCUUUACCCUAUUUCACUUGAAUCUCUCCAGAUGUCUGCUGGGCAUCUCAAACUGUUUCAUAAAUAUCUUUAACUUAAAAUACUCCAAACUUGAUGUAAAUUGUAUUCCCUUUAACCUUUGGGGGGGGGCCCCUGAAACUGUGUCCUUUUUAAUCUAUAAAAGAAGGGUGAUUCAGGGUCUCAAGCUCUCCCCUGGGAAAAGUAUACUUUUCCAAACAAGGCCCUCCCCAAGUUAAGUGGUAUCAUUCAGUUGCAGAUAGUGGCCAGGGAUGUAGUUGUACUACUAUAGAGUUGAAGAUUAGUACCACUCCCAGGAGCUCAAACUCCCAGUUAAGUAAUCUCUUCUGUACUGGAGAUCUAGACCCCAGGCAUUGUCAACAUUGAGUGAAUCUCAAUUCAAUUUUGAAUGGAAGCCCCAAGCCUCAGAAGACUAAUAAGAUAACUGAACCCUGAAUCUUCUCAGACAUCCUAACAGACUCUGCUGACAGGUGAAGAAAUUCUCAGUCUAAUCCACCUUUGCUAUGUUCCUUGCCCACUAGAAGUCUGUCUUCCUAACAAGUUGGCUUCUCAGUACCAAAAAAUCCCUUUUUGCCACACAGAUUUCAGGUUUGUGAAUUCUUUCACAUAGGACCUACGCUUCCAACCAGAGGGGAUCUCCCACCUCAUCAAACUGAAAUCAUUUCCCUGGCCCCCUCCCAAACCUUUCCUGUUCCUAACUUUCCUAUUGAUGUGGGAAAGAUUCCUUUCUAGAUUCCCAUCCUCUCCUAAUUAAUAAUGUAAAUUGCCCUUUAACUCACAAAUCCUGGUGCCUUUGAAUUCCAAUAGAAGAUCUGACCUGUUCCUAGCUCCACUGGGAUCUGAGUCAACUUUGGGGCUACACCGAAAAGCCCCUCGAGCUAAGUCUCCUAUUAUAAAAAGGCCACCCUGGAAACCCCUUUGCAGAGAUUCCAAACAUGGUAGCCAUGUGAGGACCCUCUGUCCAUUGGACCCUUUGUGCCUCCUUAUCUCUAUCUUCACCUAAUAAUAAACCUCUUUUAUUAAUCUA